GCUGGGUGAGACCACUGCCAAGAAGUGCUUGCUCACCCUACCUUCAACGGCAGGGGAAUCUCCCUCUCCUUUUAUGGGUGUAGCUGAAGAAAGGAUUCAUAAAUGAAGUUCAAUCCUUCUCAUCAACCCCAGCCCACACCUCCAGCAAUUGAACUUGAAAAAAAAAACCUGGUUUGAAAAAUUACCGCAACUAUAUUGUCAUCAAAAAAAAAAAAAAAAAACACUUCCUAUAUUUGAGAUGAGAGAAGAGAGUGCUAGGCAGUUUCCUGGCUGAACACACCAGCCCAAUACUUAAACAGAGCAAAUCCUGACUCCGAUAGAGACUGGAUGGACCCACAAGGGUGACAGUCCAGGCGGACCGAGCUUCCCAUCCCACAUCCUCCAGCACGAUGCCAAAGAGAGGCUGACGGCAACUGGGCCUUCUGCAGAGAAAGACCUCCGCUUCACCGCCCCAGUUGGUCCUAAGGGCCAGGAAGAUGGAUUCAUACCUGCUGAUGUGGGGACUGCUAACGUUCAUCAUGGUGCCUGGCUGCCAGGCAGAGCUCUGUGACGAUGACCCGCCAGAGAUCGCACAUGCCACAUUCAAAGCCGUGGCCUACAAGGAAGGAACCAUGUUGAACUGUGAAUGCAAGAGAGGUUUCCGCAGAAUAAAAAGCGGGUCACCCUAUAUGCUCUGUACAGGAAACUCUAGCCACUCGUCCUGGGACAACCAAUGUCAAUGCACAAGCUCUGCCGCUCGGAACACAACGAAACAAGUGACACCUCAACCUGAAGAACAGAAAGAAAGAAAAACCACAGAAAUGCAAAGUCCAAUGCAGCCGGUGGACCAAGCGAGCCUUCCAGGUCACUGCAGGGAACCUCCACCAUGGGAAAAUGAAGCCGCAGAGAGAAUUUAUCAUUUCGUGGUGGGGCAGACGGUUUACUACCAGUGCGUCCAGGGAUACAGGGCUCUACACAGAGGUCCUGCUGAGAGCAUCUGCAAAAUGACCCAUGGGAAGACAAGGUGGACCCAGCCCCAGCUCAUAUGCACAGGUGAAACGGAGACCAGUCAGUUUCCAGGUGAAGAGAAGCCUCAGGCAAGCCCCGAAGGCCGUCCUGAGAGUGAGACUUCCUGCCUCGUCACAACAACAGAUUUUCAAAUACAGACAGAAGUGGCUGCAACCAUGGAGACGUUCAUAUUUACAACAGAGUACCAGGUAGCAGUGGCCGGCUGUGUUUUCCUGCUGAUCAGCGUCCUCCUCCUGAGUGGGCUCACCUGGCAGCGGAGACAGUAAGUGUGGCAUCACCAAGGUAGCACACAGUCAGAUCAAAGUCCUGCACCCAGCCCCGCCCUGCCCCCCCCCACACCCCCUCCAUGCUCUCUCUAAUCACCUGCAGUUCAGGGAGUGGCAAAGGGAGAGGCCAAUCCAUGCCUCGGAAAGAGUCAGUCAAAAAGAAUGAAAGCACCGCCGGGUGCAGUGGCUCACGCUGGUAAUCACAACACUUUGGGAGGCCAAGGCUGAGUGGAUCACCUGAGGUCAGGAGUUUGAGACAAGCCUGGCCAACAUGGCAAAACCCCAUCUCUACUAAAAAUACAAAAAAACAGUUGGGCAUGGUGGCAGGCGCCUGUAAUCCCAGCUACUCGGGAGGCUGAGGCGGGAAGAUUACUUGAACCUGGAAGGUGGAGGUUGCAGUGAACAGAAAUCUCACCACUGCAUUCCAGCUGGGCGACAGAGCAAGACUUUGUCUCAAAAAAAAAAAAAAAAAAAAAAAAAAAAAAAAAAAAAAAAAAAAUUAAAGCACCAGGGAAACGGGAAGGCAAAGGAGCCUCACAUUCAUUGAGCACCCACUAUACACCAGGCUUGAUGCUUGUUUUAUAAACAUUAUUGAAAUCUACCUUCUCAGAAACCUUUGGAAUAGCUGGGCCUAGAGAGAGGCAACAGCUUGAAGAAGAUGGCACAGCAGAGACCAGCACUGCAACUUGAAUCUAGAGCCCAUGAUUUUCUCACCCAGCCCCUACCUAUAGAGGACCCAGGGCAGCAUCUAUGCUGAGCUUUGCCUAUCCUGUGCUCCCCACCCUCCCGUCCACAGAAGCUCACACCGGCAUCCCCUUGACCAGGAAUGUAACCCAUGUGUGGUCUUUUUGCAUUAACUCAGAUUUUCAACCCUGGAUGUAUCUUAGAACAUCCAGGAGAGUCUUCUAAAAUACCAGUGAGUGGCAAGAUAUAAGUAAAUGCCACAGGAAAAGGAAGGCAGUCCAAAGGGCUGUGCUUCUCCUGUGGCUCGGUGUUAUUCAUAGCUGUGACAUCUUUUAAGAGGGGUUUACAAGAGGGAAAUCCUGUCACCAAAACCAUUGUGACCCACUUUGAAUUUGGGGGGAAUCUUCAUUUGCAACAAUAGAAGAACAAAUUUGUUGCAAUAAGAAAUAUUUUUGUAGCUUAUGUAGAUUGUUCAGCCAAAACAGCAUAAUAAUUUAAAAAGUUAAAAGAUAGGCCAGGUGUGGUGGCUCAUGCCUGUAAUCCCAGCACUUUGGGAGGCCAAGCAGGUGGUUACCUGAGGUCAGGAGCUCAGGACAAGCCUGGACAACAUGGUGAAACCCUGUCUCUACUAAAAAAUACAAAAAUUAGCCGAGCAUGGUGGCGGGCACCUGUAAUCCCAGCUACUUGCGAGGCUGAGACAGGAGAAUCACUUGAAUCCAGGAGGCAGAGGUUGCAGUGAGCCGAGAUUGCGCCACUGUACUCCAGCCUGGACAACAAGAGUGAAACUCUGUCUCAAAAAAAAAAAAAAAAAAAAAAAAAGGUAAAACAUAUCAAUGCUUGGGCUCCAAUCAGAAUCUCUGGGGGUGAGCCCAAGACAUCAGUACCUAUUUUUAAUUGAGAUAAAAUUCAUCAUUUAACUGUCAUAAAGUAUACAGUUCAGUGGUGUCUUAGCCCAUUUUGUGCUACUGUAACAGGAUGCCUGAGACUGGGUAACUUAUAAAGAACAGAGAUUUAUUUCUUACCGUUCUGGAGGCUGGGAAGUCUGAGGUCGAGGGGCCCCCACGUGUCAAGGGCCUUUGUGCUACGUCAUCCUGUGGCAGAAGACGGAAGGGCAAGAGAGCAAGAGAGAGAGCAGGAGGGGCUGAACUCAGCUUUUAUCACAAACCCACUCCUGCAAUAACACCAUUAAUCCAUUCAUGAGGCAGAGCCCUCAUGACCUGAUCACCUCUUCAAGAUCUCACCUGUCAACCUUGCUGGAUUAGGAAUUAAGUUUCCAACACCUGAGCUCUGGCGAUCUAUUCAAACCACAGUCUGGGAAUCUGCAUUUCUAUCAGAUGCUAACUGAUGCUGCGGUUCCAGGGAGCAGACUCUGAGGAUCACCGCACUAGGCUAACAGCAUUAAGAAUCAGGGAAGCUGGCCAGACUCACGCUUGUAAUCCCAGCACUUUGGGAGGCCGAGGCGGGCGGAUUACUUGAGGUCAGGAGUUCGAGACCAGCCUGGCCAACAUGAAGAAACCCCGUCUCUAUUAAAAAUACAAAAAUUAGCUAGGUGUUGUGGUGCACACCUGUAAUCCCAGCUACUUGGGAGGCUGAUGCAGGAGAAUCACUUGAACCCAGGAGGCGGAGGCUGCAGUGAGCUGAGAUCGUACCACUGCACUCCACCCUGGGUGACACAGCAAGACUCUGUUUAAAAAAAAAAAAAAAAGAAAGAAAGAAAAAAGAAAAGAAAGAAAAAGAAAAAGUAAACUCUAGAAACUCACUCUGUCUCUCUCUUGAUUAGCCUCCCUGACCCCUGCCGGCAUACACUCUGGCCAACCCUAAUACAAACUCCACAGUAAGACCCUGAGAAAAUACAGAUCCACUCCCCCAAAACUGAAGUGCUUAGCCCAGCCAGAGAGAAAAAUAAAAUCUCUUCCCUUCUUAUAUGGGUCAUCAGGUCCAUAACAUACUUCUAAUUUUCAUCAUGGGAAUUAAAAAGUAUAAAUUACUGCAGUGUGAA